UCUUCCUGUGUGACCUCACCACCUGGACUCUUUAGUUGGGAUGUCAGAGAGUGAAGGCGUAAGCGGAACUUUGGGGAAAGAAGAGCUGGCAGGCGUGGUGGCUGAGAAGGUUGGCAGGGCAGAAACCAAGCCCUCAACGUAGAGCUGGUUGACAUCCACUGACCUGAAGGCUGAGAGUUCCCUCAUGUUCCUGUAAGCCGCGCUUUCCUCCGGUAGCAGCUUCGGUGAGGAAAUUCCAGGGAGAAAAACGUCCUGGUUUGUGGCCAAAAGAGCAGAAAAGAACAAAAAUCAGCUAUGGCUGUAAACCUGGACUUGUCUGUGGCAGAAAGAGUUAACAGGAUGGUGGUCUCAGGGUGAGGACCGGCUGGGAGAAGCUCACAGGGUUCAAGAAAAGACGAUGCAACAUUCAGCGUGGGACAGCCCUGUCUGCCUUAUGGGUGCUGUCACUCAAAGAGUUAAGCCAGUCUUGGGGCUGGGAAGCCUCAGGGAAGGCCUGAGCCUGCAAGGACCAGGCCCUUUAUGCCCCAGAGCAAUGAGGUGUAGGGUAAAAAUUGGGCUGAAAGUGUGGCCAGGGAGUGAAGUGUAGGCCCAACUUUUUUUUGCCGUGUUUGACCAGCCUUGGCACUGCCCUCAGGCUCUCCAGGGGAAAAGCUGCAGUUCUGCUCUUGCAACACAAGGAGCAGACUGGAGAAUUUAGAUCUGCGUCACAGAGCUCAGAGAGAGAGAGAGAGAGAGAGAGAGGGAGAGGCAGAGGGAGAGGGAGAGAGAGAGAGAAGAGAGAGCGAGAGCGCUCUGUCGAUAGGUCUGCUAGCAAGAGCUGUGCUGCAGCAGAGAGAGAGAAAUCAAGAAACAAGUCAUAGCAACACCGGGCACCAGGUUCUGCCAGCUCACUUGCCAAGCAUACAGAAAUCUGUCGGGGGCUGGAGGCCUCUGGGUAGCCUAGGCUAAGGAGAUGACAUGCAAGGUGGCACGGGCGGUUCCCGUGGGGAGGAGGUGGGGUGGUGGUGGAGUCAGUGGUGGCAGCAAGAGGUUGUGGGGCAAUGGUGGAAGGUUUAACGGGACCAAUUUCUGGAACCUUCGGGACUGUGGCACCUUACGGCCGGACUGAGAUUUGGGUCUGCGCAGGCGACGAUGGGUGGUCCGAUGGACUUCAGGAGUUGAUGGUGUAACCCCCUUCUUCCCCCACGGGACGAGAUUUGCAUUGACGUCCGGGGCUGUCCAGAGCCGAGCCCAGUAUGAGAAGGACCUGCCUUCUGGAAGCUGCUGCUCCCUGGUUGGAAAGCAGGGCUGCCUGAUUUCUGACGCUGUUGCACCCCGUGAGAGGGAAGUUGGGCACCCUGAAGCCCCUCAUCACCAAUUCCAGGACUGCAGAGCGGGGAGUGACGACAGCUUAUGAAUCGUCAGCCGACGGCAGUGGGGACCCUGGUGACGGCUGCUUUGUUGUUUUUUUCCUCUUUGGAUGAUGACUCAGUCUGUCGGAGCGGGGAGAUGGAGCACUCAGCUGAGUGGCCAGGACGUUCUGUCAACACGAACGAAAGCAGCAAAAACAGCUUGUCGGGCUCAGAGCUGACCCUUAGGCUCAGGUCAUUUUCAGGAAGGAAUUGGCAAAGCAGCAGCCCACUGCUGGACAUCGGGGUGGGGCCGACACCAGAGAGAACUCAAAGGAGGUGAGAGCUCCAUGAGUAAGUGCCGACCUCGUGGACACUCGGCUCAGUGAGGAUGGUGCUGUUACGCAGAGGACAGCCAUCGUACUGGGGAAUAAACGUGUGCCCGUUUGCAUUUAUUUGCAAAAAAAGGAGCUGCCUGGCAGCCUGGCUCUGUGCAGUGCUGUUGAGCCACCAAUUUGUGUGGUUCUGUGACCGCAGUGCUGAUUGAUGUGUCAGGAUCCUGGUCUUGUCAGUGACUCAUCACCAGGGUGCUUAAUGGAAACCAAAUGCAGCCUGGAAAAUAGGAUUUAACCCCCUCCCUCCCUCCCAGGGGUGCUGAAGCAGAACAGAGAAUGGCAUGUCUUCUUGGCUGUGUGGCCCUCGCAGUGAUCACCAUUCGCAAGACCGAGGACUUGUAUGAAGGGGAACAGCAGCAUUCGUCUUUGUUUUCAGCCGCUUCGGCCAGGAUGGCUUAGCUUUACCUGGGCGUGUUCCUUGAGGAAGGAUUGGGAUGAGACAGGGCAGCAAGCAUGUGUCUGUACAUGUCUAGCCCUCCGUAGCCCCUGAGUGCAGCCUCAGCCAGUAGAGAAGCCCUGCGAUGGGGAACCCACAGGGGAGUUGUUCUGGUGCGUGAAGCCUGCAGUAACAUCACGUGGAAGGUUUGUCCUCUUGGACCCAGUCCUUCCCCCAGAGGAUGGGAAGGCUGGCUGGACCUGCAGCAGGUAGGGUGAUGUAGGCUAGACUCCAAGGACAACUGUGGCGUCCCCUUUGCUGAGGGCUCCCAAGGAACAAUGAAACGUCCUUACCUGACAGGGGACUCGAUGUCCUUCCGGUCUGCCGUCUAUGGGACGCUGAGACGGCCCCAGAAAGCAUGAGGUUUGGGUGCCAGGACCUACAGCGUGCUGUGCGGCUGCACUCUCCAUCUUUCCUUCCUGCCACUGAGGCUUAAGCUGACGGGCAGGGGGCACAUGAGCAGUGGGCCUGGAGCUCGUUUCCCCUGCAGAAGGAGCUUGUGGAACUGACCCUAUAGGACUGAUAUUAUUUGCAAAUAAAAAAAGGACAAAGGCAAGUGGCCACUCAUCUCUCAGGAAAGAGCCCUGAGCUGCUCUAAGCCUGUCUUUGGACCAUCACCACUACCUGCCCAGUCCUAGGGACCUUUGACAGGCCUUGGAGCCUGGUGGGGGGGGGAGAGGGGAGGAGAAGGCACAGGAGGUAGGGCCUGAGCGUUGUUUGUUGGGAGGAAGGUUGGAGGUGGAAGAGGGUUAUCUCAGGUCAGAUCCACAGCUCUGGGACCGCCAGCAUGGCCUGCUAUGCUAAAGGUACCGUGUGUGCUCAAACGGGCAUGCUAGUUAGAGGUAACCCGAAGCCUGAAAUAAACCAGUUAAUGACUAAGUGAAGAUCGUAUUAAAUCUGGAGAACCAUAUAUCCUUUUGUGUUAUUAACUCCUGCAGAUUUAGCACUGAAAGGCCGAACAGGUCAGGGACCUUUCAGUGGUUCUCUGAUCUGUAAGAUCAUGCUUUUGUUAUAUUGACUUUUUGUUUCCUUUCUUCUCUGUUUUCCCUCUCAUUCCUUACAUGUACAUGAAUGUUUAUCCAUGCAUUUGUGCUUUAAUUCCCUUGGGGUACGGUUCUUUCCAUGUCUCUGACAUCCUUGAAUGUAUUACUUUUGUUUCAGAUGUGAACAAACUACCAGCUCACUGCAGAGAUGCCCCAUCUCUGAGACGGGACAGGUGCCCAUCGGUUUCCCCCUCCUCACCUGGUCCUGGAGCAGGUCCUCCAGACCCCUGAGAGGUGAGAUUCAAGGGUGUCUUUGCUAGGGCCAGUUCAGCCCAUGUCAUGCUUCCUGUUUGGGGUGGGGUUGCUCAGGCAUGAAUCCCCCAGAUAUUUUAGCUGUUUCUUCUUUUCGGCUUGAACCCUGAGUAAUAGCCUUGAAAGUCUGAGACCACAUGUCAGCCUGCUAGGUGAGGAGGGCAGUAGGAGGACAGGAACACAAGUUCCUGGCCAUUGGCCUCUCCAAGACAGGUGAACUCUGUGUCCAAAAACGAGCUCAUUUAAUCUUUUGGCCCUAAUGGAAGUUAUUUGUAUUUUCUCUCCCUCUCUCUUUCUCGCCUCUCUGUCCCUCAACCCGCCCCCCCCGCCCCCACCACCACCACCGAGCCUGCAAAAGAAUUUAAUCUGCUGGACAACAAACAAUACUGUUAUAAAACUUGGAAAACAAGAGGGCGAGGCCUCCCUGACAAGGAGAAGGGCAUGCCGGGUAACAGCGAGGGAGCCUGCCAGGCCCACGAUGGAGCCGGCUGGCAGCCCAGUUUGGCUGGGUACCUGGGUGCCUGCCCCUGCCCAGCCCACCAGCUGUGCUACCCCAGUCCAGAGGGUCCUGAGACUGGCAGGCAGAGGCUCUGAUAACAAAUGAGGCUGGCCCUGCAUUGUAGGCACAGCUACCAGCCUGGCCAGCUGCAGGGGACGCAGGAGAGAAAGGUGCUUCAAGUUGGCUCUGGACUCUGGACCUACCUUCUGUCUGCCCAGCCUGCCUUCCCCCAACUAGGGAAGUGGAGCCAUGUCACAGGGUGUGCCCCAGUCCAUGUGCUCAGCCAGGUGUGUGCCCAGGUACUGGCUAGAACUGCCACGCCGAGGUUAGUGGGUACACCUCGGGCUUCCUGCUAUGGGCCUGGUGCCGGCCGGGGCCUUGGCCCCCGGAGGAUGUCUGUUCUCCCUCCAGGAGGAGUGGGGGCUGUGCUGCCAAGGCCAGGACAAGCCUUGGGAGGGACUCCUGGGGACAGGAACGUGCUUCUCGCAGCAGUAGGCCCAAGGUCUUGUGAGUGGGGCGUCCACGGGACAGUGUGUCUGCUACUCUGCCUGGGGAGGUGUGGAAGCUGGGCUCUGGGGCCUUUCUCCCUCAACCUCCAUAGUUAGAUUUCACCUGAGGCUGAGGUUUUCACUUCUGAGUCCAUCUUUACUGAGUCCAGUAGAUGAUUUGGGAGGGAGGAGGGAGCAGCGUUGGUGGUUUUCCUUUGGAUCCACAUUGGUCUGGACCUGGGAACUGUGUGGUGGGCAUUGUGUUUGUGUAAUAGACCGUAGGCAUGCUCUUUGCCUCUUGUGGAGAGCACGAGCUUCCUUGAAAGCAGUUAGAGCUCUGCCCGUCCUCCUUGGCCUGCACUAAGCCUUUCUCAGGAGACGUGGAGACAUCCACGCUCUGGUCGUCAUUCCAUCCCUCCUCCUCCCCUUUGCUCCUCACUGGCUGCCUUCCUCCAUGGCCCACUGCACCCCAAGGGCAGGAUAGCCAUGGGGCAUCCUCCCCUCCAGCCAGUCAGCUGACAGACCUAGGGCUUUCAUGCCCUGUACUGAGUGGGAGAUUUCCAGACCCAGGUUCUUGCUGGUGGUGUCGAGGAAGGGACAGAGAGGUCAACUUUGUGGAAAGCCACUGCCUAGGAACAUAGACCUCCGAACCCCUACCUCAGGCAAAGCAGAAUUGCUGAUGCUGGGCCCACGUAAGCUGAGGAGGCUGUGACUUCUUGCUCUGGUACCUCAGCGGGCAUCUGAGGAGCUGCUCAGUGGGCCGGCAGCAUGUUAUUCCCACUUUGGGAUCUGGAGCCUGGGAAGUGUGGUAGUCCCUGGAUGCUGAGCCCUCCUUUUAGGGGCCAAAAUGCCUGAAAGAGAGAGGCAACUCCAUGUUCCCUUUCCCCCCAGGCCCCAUACCCAUGCCCUUCAUUUUAUCACCUUUUCCUCUGAUUCAUUAACCACAGCUAGUUGGCAAAGGCCUGACCCCGACAGUUUUAAGACAAAAUGUCCAGGACACUGGGUCUGGGCUAGAGCAGGGAGCAACAGGAAGCUGGGCCGGGCCUGUCAGCUCAUACAUACAAUGGUUUGGGCAGAAUGUUCCCCUUUUCAAAAGGGCCUUCCCCGCGCCCCUCUAUCCCCAAGGUGAUUCUUCUCACCGCCAGGAGCCCUGAAACCAGCAUUCCCAGUGGCAGGAAGAAGGAUGAGCUGGGCUCUGCUUCCGGUACCCCUCCCCCACUCUGGCUGGAACUUGUGUCAGUCACGUAAGUAGCUGUGACUCAGCACCCAGCCCCGUUGGGAGGGAGAAGCUGCUGCCUUGCAGGAACCUUCUCAGUGUUCUGGAUUGGAACACGUUGCGGUUGCGCAGAACAAGCCAGCAGCGUUAGGUUCCUGGGGGCGAAUAUGUCUGUUUAUUCCAUGGGUUUGGUUAUGGAUUUCAUAAACAAAGAUGCCUCUCCUUCCCAUUUUCCUCCCAUAUUAUUUUUGGGGCACCAUGCUUGGCAUGGGAAUUUUUGGACUAUAAAAGACACAACGUGAUUUAUAGAAUGAAAUGGAAGGUUUCUUCGCAGUCUCCAGAUGGUUCUUUCCCCGACAGCCCAUGAAUUGUAUUUAACCCUCAGAUGUUUUUGUUUGGCCUGCACAACUUUGUUUUGUUUAUCUGGUUUUGCAUGCCUGCAGACAAAACACGGCCUGUCCAGGUCACUGUACUUGUGCUGCAGGCUUCUCUGUCUUAAGUUUCCUGCUGAGCCGUCAGAGUGUGUGACUGUGCAGUGACCAGCCUGCGCCAGCCCCCGUCUUCUCCGAUGACCUCUGAGGCCCAUUCCAGGGACAUUCUCACCGUCCAGGCGGAGCAGGAAGUCAAGCCACUGCUUGACGUUCCGAUUCACUGUGUGGUGACCUUUCCUCCACCCUCGGGUCCCUGCCCAGGCCGAGGAGUGUCCUGCGCACGGUGGGGGUGUGUCCUGCGCAUGGUGGGGGUGGGGGUGUGUGGACAAACCUCCAGAGAGAAUGUGGGCACAGAAAUGGACUAGGGCUGCAGUUUGGCUCCCGAAGCCCUCUUUGUGUUUGGUGUGUCACCUCCCAGGGUGACAGACCCACCCGUGUCGUGGGUGGUUUUCCUUCCCGGCAGCCCACCCAACCUUCUUCCCCUGGCCAGUGUGCAAGGUGCCAUCAGGCCCAUGCGGAAGGAUGCUGCCACCUGCCAGUGACAGCAGAGCCCUCAGCGGGCUGGUGCUUUCUUGGGCUGCCUUCUUACAGACAGACCUAGGUGGCCCUGUGCUGGGUGCCAGGGAGAGCAAGCCCCUUCCAGCCCCCAUCAAACCACCCGCCUACAUCCAACUAGGGAAUAAAAACACGAGCUUGUUUCAGGUAAGUGAGUCAUUGAUCAGCAGACUUGCAGAGAGAAGCCUGGUUCUGUUGGGAAAGUUGAGAUUUGAACGGACCCUUUUACUCAAUAGGAUUGGAAGGGCUAAAGGUUUUGGUACUAAGAUUACUUUCUUCCCCUUCUUCUUCUUUUAGAGUCUUUACAGCGAUGUAUUGUUAAUGAUUUUUUUUUUUUUAAAUCUCUUCUUCCAGAGAACUAAAUAGUUUAGAACUCAAGAGUUGGGAGCCCAAACUCUAGUUCAAGUCCCUUAGUUCCUCAGUGACAGUUGCUGCUGUGCUGUGUGCAGCCCCUCCUCUGAACUCUGUGCUGACGCAGCCUGAGUAGCGGGAGAGACAUUAUUUAACCACCCUGAUGACCACAUGACAUAAGUGUGUCCUGAAGGAAAUGAACUAGAUGCUGGGAGAGGGCGACCUAGCUGGAAGCUGGACUGGGGUGGGGCGGGAGCUCUCCUGAGGAAGGGAGGGCUGAGCUGAGAGUUCAGACCACCUGGGUUACCAGGGGAGGGGGUUGCGGGGCGGGGUGAGGGGUGGGGUGUUGACAGGUGGUAGUGAUGGGAGAGCCCAUAGAGACAGCAUAUGCAGAGGCCUUCUGGUGGGAGGGAGUUGGGCUCACUGAAGAACAUGUGUCUGUGUGACAUCUUAGGAAAGGGUUUUAUGGAUACUGGCAAUUGGACGUUGCUAAGGAAGAAGAGUGUGGCUGAAGUAAAAAGCAGAAAAGCUGAGAAUUACCAAAUGUAGAUCUCUUCAUUUUAUAGGAUUCAGACCCCAUGGUAAUGACUGCCAUUAACACUCACUCCUGACCUAAAGCCCUAGUGACCCCGUUAACAGGAACCGACUGUUGACUACAAGUGUCCUCAUCUGAGCCCCUGCGGGCAGAGCCGACCCCAGCUCUGCCGUCUGUGGCUGAGGCCUUGCAAAGUCUCACGGGCUGCAGAGCCCUGGUGCUGGUGUCAGGGUCACUUGGGCAUCCUCUCAGCAUUGCUGGGAGCUUCAUCUCCAGCGGCCCCCACUCCCACAGCCGUGCUAUGGGACAUCGCAAAGGCGCCAGAGGAGCAGAACAAAGCAGCUGCCUCAACCACCAGGCCCCUUGCAGAACCAGUCGUGCUCCAGUCUCCACUCGAGUUUAACGUGUUGUACAGUCAGUAACAUGCCACUUCCAUGCAGAAAUAUUGCCUCAGAUACACAUGCCGCCCUCACCCCGUCUUGCUCGUAAUUAAGUUCAAGUACAGGGGGAGAUGAUAGUGCAGCUUUGGAGCAGGCGGCAGUGGGCAGAGGGGCAGGACACAGGCUUCGGUGUUCCAUCUGGGAUCUACACCAUUUAUUAGUCACGUGACUGGACACAUUAUUGAACCACGUUGAGGAUCCAUUUCUUCUCCUGCAAAAAUGACUAUUGUGAGAAUUAAAGAGCACAACUUGGUAUUCAAAUGUUGCUUCCUUCUCUUCCCUUAGAGCAGACAUACCAUUAUUUCCAGGGACCAUAAAAAAAUACAAGCCUGUAUCUAGAGGCCUAAAGAACUGGUAGGAACUUAUAGAUUCUGUGUGUCUUUCUCUUGGUUAUGGUGUCAGUAGAAAUAGAGACAUGUUUUUUAGUUUCAAACAGCCAAAGAAGGUGAUGUAAUUAAUUAGGAUGUGGAAAAUCUAAUUUAAACACAGUUUGCAAAUCUUAUUUUAAGGCAAAUUUUAAAAACAACACAAAACUCAAUUCUUGUGUUCGAGGAUUAUCUACUUAACACACUUUUAGGACACCAGUUUUUUGUGUGUCACACCAGAGGUUAAAUAAGAUUGCCAGUGUUGUGACACUUAUGGCUGAGAAGGCGGAGCCCAUGCUCUUCCUGAAUAGGGCACUUAGAAAGCCUGCCCUGGCCCUGGUGAAAGUCACCUUUUUGUAGUGGCCAGAGCCUCACAGGCAGAUAGGGGGCUUGUUUCCUGAUGAAGUGAGAUAAUAUCAAAAAACGUUUUGCACACUGUGAAAUAUUGCACAAAUGCAGGGCAAUACUAAUGUAGCAAAGCAUUUUAAUGACAGCUUUGCCUAUUUUAUCUCAUUAUAUAUGUAAUAAUUGACGGACUGGUUGUGGAAUUAAACAAAUUAACAUAGCUUACGAGUUUGGUAUUGCUUCGUCUGUGUGAAGCAUCAGCCACGCCCCCCAGCUUCCAUGGGCAUCCCUGUGGAAGUCUCCUCUGUGCCUUUCGAAUGGAUCUUGAUAACUAUGUCAUGUCACGAGUGGACUGUAAGAAGACAUUCUCCUCGGGACAGAGGCUGGGUCUUCGGAUUGCAUCUCCUUUCUUCAGUGAGAUCCUCUUCUUCUGGAAGCUGGUUUCACAUGGUGGCUUAGAUUUUUCCAUCUUUGUAUCUAGCACCAUUUGAAAUCAGUGUUUUAGGAGUAAGAAUUGCAGCACAGCAUGGCUCUUGGGACUGGCUCCUCUCCUGCCACUGGAGCUGGUUCAAGAAGGAAGCAACUUGGAAAGCAAAGUACACUCUUGAGUAUGUUGGGUCUGGAGGGGUGACAGUAUGGGGAGCGGGUUCUGUUUGAAGACACUCGGGUUUGAGCAGGACAGAGGUUGUGAUGCUUUUUGUGUUGACGUGCAGCCUCAGCCACCAGCAGUGGUGACAGGCACUGAUGGCUUGGGUGCUUGAUCGUAAUAGGCAGGGCAGAGGGCUGUGUGCCCGGAGGCCUGUGUGUGCACACCAGCACUGUCCGCCCACUCCUGGAUGCCCUGGAACACACGGCCACCUGCACUGUCAAGGUGCAGGACCCCCGGGAGCACCGCUGGACCCAUCUCUUACACAGGCUGACCGAUUUCUCCUGGUGUUCAGAGUCUGUUUUUGUCUAGCACCAUUUGAAAUCGGUUAUGAUGUAGGGGGAAAAGCAGCAGCCUCGAAGCCUCACACCAAGUGUGCUCAGCAGCAGCCUGUGGUUUCCUGGAAGAUGGAUGGGCAGAGAGUGGGAAGGAAGCUUACACUGCUUCUUCCUAACUUCUUUCACUGCGUUUGUGAUACUUUAUUGCAGAGAUAGGAGAUAAUUUAAUGGAUUUUAAAAAACAAAUCACUAUAAUAUCUGAGGUCCUCAGUUGCAUUUUGCUGAAACGUGGUAGUGCUGUAAAUUCUAUAAAUUGCUUCCUUGUUGACUUGUUUUUCUGUUAAGAACAGACUAUUCAUGUAUCUGAACUUAAUAAAUGUUUUACCACCUUCAA